UUAUAUUUAAGAGCCGCGGUAUUUUGACCGUGCAAAGGUAGCAUAAUCACUAGUUUUUUAAUUGGGAACUUGUAUGAAUGGUUGGACAAGGGAAGAGCUGUCUCUGUUAUUAUAUUUGAAAUUGACUUUUAAGUGAAAAGGCUUAAAUUUUUCAAAGGGACGAUAAGACCCUAUAAAGCAUUUGAUUGGGGCGAUCAAGGUAUAAAUAGUAACUGAUUUAAUAAUAAAACAAUAAUGGUUGAACUGAUCCUUUAUAAAGAUUAAAGAUUAAGUUACUUUAGGGAUAACAGCGUUAUUUUUUUUGAGAGUUCAUAUCGAAGAAAAAGUUUGCGACCUCGAUGUUGAAUUAAAAUGUCUAUAUAGUGCAGCAGCUAUAAAAGAAGGUCUGUUCGACCUUUAAAAUUUU
rnacentral:rRNA from 1 species